rnacentral:rRNA from 1 species
AGAGUUUGAUCAUGGCUCAGAAUGAACGCUGGCGGCGUGCUUAACACAUGCAAGUCGAACGAGAAAAGCCUGAAGCUUGCUUUGGGCGAGUAAAGUGGCGCACGGGUGAGUAGCGCGUGGGUAAUCUAUCUCUGAAUUUGGGAUAACACUUCGAAAGGGGUGCUAAUACCGGAUGAUAUCCAUUGGGCUUUGGUUUGAUGGAUCAAAGAUGGCCGCUUCAUGAAAGCUGUUGUUUGGAGGUGAGCCCGCGUCCCAUUAGUUAGUUGGUAGGGUAAUGGCCUACCAAGGCGGCGAUGGGUAGCUGGUCUGAGAGGAUGAUCAGCCACACUGGAACUGGAACACGGUCCAGACUCCUACGGGAGGCAGCAGUGAGGAAUUUUGCGCAAUGGGGGCAACCCUGACGCAGCAACGCCGCGUGAGGGAUGAAGGUUUUUCGGAUCGUAAACCUCUGUUGUACGGGGAAGAAGAAAGUGACGGUACCGUACGAGGAAAGCCCCGGCAAACUACGUGCCAGCCGCCGCGGUAAUA